rnacentral:rRNA from 1 species
UACAGAGGUGCUCGAGCGUUUGUUCGGAUUCAUUGGGCGUAAAGGGUGCGUAGGCGGCGCGGUAAGUCGGGUGUGAAAUCUCGGAGCUUAACUCCGAAACUGCAUUCGUAUAACUGCCGUGCUUGAGGACUGGAGAGGAGACUGGAAUUUACGGUGAGCGGUGAAAUGCGUAGAUAGUCGAGAGGAACACCUGCGGCGAAGGCGGUUGCUGGGCCGACACUGACGCUGAUGACGCGAAAGCCAGGGGAGCGAACGGG